rnacentral:tRNA from 1 species
GGGCCCGUGGUCUAGCGGUUAGGACGCCACCCUCACACGGUGGAAGUCCCCGGUUCAAAUCCGGGCGGGCCCACCA